rnacentral:rRNA from 1 species
UGGCGAACGGGUGAGUAACACGUGGGUAACCCUGCCCACUCAGAGGGGGAUAACAUCCGGAAACGGAUGCUAAAACCGCAUAGGUCUUCGAACCGCAUGGUUUGAAGAGGAAAAGAGGCGCAAGCUUCUGCUGAUGGAUGGACCCGCGGUGCAUUAGCUAGUUGGUGAGGUAACGGCUCACCAAGGCCGUGAUGCAUAGCCGACCUGAGAGGGUGAUCGGCCACAUUGGGACUGAGACACGGCCCAAACUCCUACGGGAGGCAGCAGUAGGGAAUCUUCCGCAAUGGACGCAAGUCUGACGGAGCAACGCCGCGUGAGUGAAGAAGGUUUUCGGAUCGUAAAACUCUGUUGUUAGAGAAGAACAAGUGC